AGCUUGUGCACAGUGGUUUCUUUCAUUUUCUUGAGAUCUUUGGAAAUGGUCCUAAAGGGGAAAAAAAUGAACUCAGGAAGCAAGACUGAAAAUGUGUGCAAUUGUAUGAUUUAAAAGAUUUAAAAAAAAACAAAAACCUCCACGGUACUUUUGAUUAUCACAAGACCAGAAAAUAUAGUGCUUUCCUGAGAAUGUUUUGGUAAUACGACUUUAAAACAAGCAACAUUAAGUAGAAGAAUUUGAAAUACAGAACAUGGAACUCAAAUGGCUUUGAUGGGUUAUAACCAAGUUGGAUUGGCUGAAGAGCAUCACCUGCUUGAAUGUGAGUCCUCUGACUACAGAUUGCCACUUUGGAUCUCUCUUCUUACUUUCUGAAGAGGCUUACUGAAAGCAGAGAAAAACAAAUAGCGGAAGAUGUGCAAACAGCAGCCCCAGUGAGGAGGAGAAGGAAAGAGAGAAGAUGACCAACUCCAUUGCCCUGGGCCAGAUAUGAGGAAGAACAUCGUGAUAGAAGGGCAUGACAGAGGAAAGCACCUCAGGACAUGGCACCAGGAAGCAGAGACAGAGAAAGAGAGAGAGAGAGAGAGAGAGAGACUCUCCUCCCAAUGGACAAAAUACAUACCCCAAUGACACAUCCCAAAUCACCCACCUCCUCUAGCCACACCAUAUAUGCCUACAUUUACAACCCAGUUAAUCUGUAUCAGUGGAUUAAUACAUUGAUUAGGUUAAGGCUCUUAUUUCAUCUCUAAACCCCCUUGCAGGGUCUCACACAUGAACUUUGGGUGGACACUUCAUAUCUAAACCAUAACAGGGAGGCAACAUGUUUUCCUAGUCCUUCAUUUAUUAUAAACUUUAAUUCGUAGUCAGGAAAAAGUGGAAGAAUAAUAUUUUGGAAUAAAGUUGAAAUAAUUUAA